rnacentral:lncRNA from 1 species
CAGCGUUCCUGAACAGGAGCGCGUAGACUGGGUCUAAGCGCCUCUUGUUUUUUAUGUUUCGAGUAUGUAGUUGGAACGUUAGGGGGCUGCUGUUUUGGGUUUUGGCUGGUGGGUGCCUCUUGUUUUUUUAUGUUUCGAGUAUGUAGUUGGAAUGUUAGGGGGCUAAACGACCCCUCUAAACGUACUUCUGUUAGGGAUGUCAUUUCUAAGUUA